UACGUAGGGUGCAAGCGUUGUCCGGAUUUAUUGGGCGUAAAGAGCUCGUAGGCGGUCUGUCGCGUCGGAUGUGAAAACCCAGGGCUCAACCCUGGGCCUGCAUUCGAUACGGGCAGACUAGAGUCCGGAAGAGGAGAAUGGAAUUCCUGGUGUAGCGGUGAAAUGCGCAGAUAUCAGGAAGAACACCCGUGGCUAAGGCGGUUCUCUAGUACGGUACUGACGCUGAGACGCGAAAGCGUGGGGAGCGAACAGG
rnacentral:rRNA from 1 species